rnacentral:lncRNA from 1 species
AAAUCCCAAUUUGUUUUUUUUUUUCGAAUUUCUGGGGUUAAAAACCUUAUUUGAUUAAUUUCGAUGUUUUGACUCACAAAUUCCACAUAGCAUAAUUGCGUAUUGCAUGAACAAGUAUAUAUAUAUAUAUAUAUAUAUAUAUAUAUAUAUUGACAAAAUAUAUGAAUAUAAAUACAAUAUUGUUGCAGUCAUAUUUAGAAUAGGAAUGUGGUUGUGUAAAUCCUAGGGAAUCUGGGAAUGUAUCUUAUAUUCCUAUUAUGAUUAGAUUACCUAUUAAAUGUUGUAAUCCUAAAGGGAAAGGUUUUACCCUUUCUACUACUAUAAAUAAAGGCACAAUGGGGUGAAUCAAACACACCUCACAAUUAAAUCAAUCUCUCUUCUCUCUAGUAGUGGCCGGCCCCCUCUCUCUCUAAACCCUAGAUCGUUCAAUCAAAUAGGCCUACAACACGUUAUCAGCACGCUCUUGCCAGAAGCUGAGGAAUUGAUGCAUCAUUGGAGAAGGCUAUCAUCCACCAAAUUCAAAGGCUUAUUCAUUUUCUGCUAAUCAGGUAUGUUUAAAAUAAAAAAAGAUAUUUGAAA